GCGCCUUCUCCUCCUUCCGCCUCUGCCUUCUCCGCCUUCUGCCGCCGCGCCUCCUCCUCCUCCUUCCGCCGUCGCGCCUCCUCCCCCGCCUUCUGCCGCCCCGCCUACUCCUCCUCUUUCCGGCGACGGGCAUGGAGCUGUUCUGCUGUCUAGGCUGAGGGGCCGGAGACGCCGCCGGCGGAGGCUGUGCAGGCCAUUAACACCCGUGACCGCCGUUGCAAGGCUGGGCGCCCUAAUGAGGCCGGCGCCAUCAAAUUACACGACAACACAUGGAAAGUCUGCCCAUCCUCAACAAAAUGAAACCCCUGACCAGGAGAAUGAUGCUUCCGCAGUCGUACAACCCAGUCCACGAACCAACAUAGGUUCUCCUACAACAAAUUGUGCCAGAGAGAGGUGCGGUUCACUAUGCACUGAUGAAAAAGAGGCCAAUCUUCAAAAAAAAAACGUGAAUACAAGCAGAGCAAGAAGGAUAACUUUGCAUCUCUAACAGGAACCGAGUACAGUGAUGAAAAUAUGUCACCGACAAUUGCUACAUCUGAAGUUCGAAAUGAAACACCUUCUAAUGUGUCUAUUCCUUCUACAAUCGUCACAGGUACACCUGCCAAUGUUACUAAUUUAAGUGCAAUCGAACUUAGAAGAAAGCGUGAUAGAGAGGCAGCUGUUGAGGUACAUUGGCCAUCCACUUUUGGCUUAUGUUUUAUGGUAAAUGAGUAUAAUUGUGGUAAUGGUGUAUGCGUUCGAAGAUGAACUGAUUCCAGGAAUUGUUUUUACUGGUGAAUUAUGGUGCCAACUUCAAAAGGCCCAAGUGAAGCAGGACAUUCAAAGUGGAAUAUGCUAGAGCAUAUUGUUUUGCUAAAUAAGUCUAAAGCAUGUGGUUGCUAUAUAUUUCUAUUUUUCCUGUUCCUAACUUUUUUUCAACCUUUGUAAGUUAUAAUAUUUGUAGAAAUAUAAGUAAGUUCCUUAAUUAUGGAUUUUGCAAAUUGAUGUUUCACAUGGGUCCCAUUUAUAUGAAUUGGCGUUCAAGUUCAGGAAGCAUUCAGUUCAAACUGAAGAAUUCAAAGCAUUUGAUCAAUUUAAAGUGAUCUUGAUGAACUUUUGUUUGGAGUCAUAAGAAAUAAUCACUGAUUUAUAAUUUUAUAUUCUCAUUAGUUCCGAAACUCAUUAGUCUCAUUCAAAUUUCACUCGGUUGUAAGGUCGUACUCCCUCCAUCCAUAUUUCAUUUUCUGAUUUUUUUUUUCAACUAGGAUGGGCAUAUUUGCAUUCUUCAUACAUCUAAGACUUAAAUGUCCUAGAACCUGGGCAACCAUAUUAUUACUUAUUGGUUGCAUGUAUCCAUACAAUUUUUUUUUGUCUCUACACAGAAUGAAUUGAUUUGUCCUUGGUUUCGCUGAAAAAAGUAAUAUGCCUUGGAGGGUAUUUGUUUUUUUUUUAAUUUCAUCGCCGCAUUAGAAUUCCAUGUGCACUUGUGUUUUGGUUGUAAUGAGUGAAUUUCUUUUUAAUCUUCAUUUUGUAUGGAAAUAAAAUGAGGUUUAAUUUCUUCUUUGUUUUAGUGAUUUAUUUAUUGUUAGUUGUAUUAUUAGUUGAAUGCAAUAAUAUGUUGUAUUUUUCUUUUUCAUUUCGAGCUAGAAUGGAAAUAAAAUGAAGCUGGA